rnacentral:rRNA from 1 species
CGAAGGGGGCUAGCGUUGUUCGGAAUUACUGGGCGUAAAGCGUGCGCAGGCGGCUAUCCAAGUCAGUGGUGAAAGCCCGGAGCUCAACUCCGGAACUGCCAUUGAAACUGUUUAGCUCGAGUACGAGAGAGGUGAGUGGAAUUCCCAGUGUAGAGGUGAAAUUCGUAGAUAUUGGGAAGAACACCGGUGGCGAAGGCGGCUCACUGGCUCGUAACUGACGCUCAUGCACGACAGCGUGGGGAUCAAACAGGAUUAGAUACCCUGGUAGUCCACGCCGUAAACUAUGGACGCUAGCCGUUAGGCAGCUUGCUGCUUAGUGGCGCAGCUAACGCAUUAAGCGUCCCGCCUGGGGAGUACGGCCGCAAGGUUG